UUUCUUCAAAUCCCCACCAACUACCUCUUCCAACAAUCGACCCACACAUGGGAAUUUGUUGUACUUAUGUUACUAUCUGACUCAACAUUCGAAAAUAUUUUCAGAGAAUGAUUCUACUUUGAACAUGAUUUUGAAAUUGCUGAAAUGGCAUUGAGAUUUCCAUGUGCAGCGGACGGCCGCUGACGACGCCGGCUUCCUAUUGGCUAACGCCAUUGCAUAACGGACAGUAUUGUAACCACUUUAUUCGCAGAAAUUAAAUAUAUCUUCGUGCACGCGUGUUACUGAAAUAACAAAUCUUAUCUCGAUAUUUCAGAAAAAGAAAACGAUUCGUCGAAGAUCCUUGCGUGUUGCCGAUUUAUUUUAAGAGACACGUGGUUCCUCGAACUUUUCCAAAAGAGCGCAGUUCGAACGAAUCGCAUUUACACGAGGAGAAACAUAAGGAGAGGACUUCACCCACUUGGCACACUUCUCAAUUAUACAGCGGUUGGUGAAACGGUCGAUUACCUCACCUGUUUAUACUGUGCAUUAAACAGUUUUCGUUUCAAAAUUACAGUGACGUUGGGAAACGUCAUGAUUGAAACGUUAUGUCAUGAAUCGUACGUUCUAUACAAAUAUUAAAUUUGUAUUUUACAGAAACAUUGAAACUAGUCCGCGUUUAAUGUACUCUAAAUAUAGUUCCACGGAAACCGGAUUUCGAAGCUGCGCUGCGCAUAGAGUUAUAAAGUAUAAGCACGGACGAAGUAUAAGAGAUAUUGCAAGCUUAUGGGACUCGGUGUCACAUGUUCUGAAUUACCGACUGUAAAAAGUCAAAGGUGUUGCUCUGCCCUCUACGUGUAGGGAACGGUCAAUAGGAAAACUACAUCAAGUAAAAUGAUCAAAAUUGACCAGGUAGUAAAUAUGGUAAAUCAGUAUACAAACGUAUUCGUUACAAUGUUACCAUAUCUUCAAUCUUCCAACGCGUGAAACUAUUUGCUGUAAGUAUGUACAUGGUUCAAGUUGAGUUGGGGAUCACUGGUCAGCACCGGUUAGUACUGGUCAGCAUGGAUCUGCAUUGACCUCAACUGGUCGGUAGUGGUCAUUAGUGGUCACUAGUGGCCAGAAGUGUAGGAGUAGGUCACUGAUGGCCAGAGAGGUCCAAGAAGGACCAGGAAGGUCCAAGAAGAACUAGGAAGAACCUGGAAGAAUCUGGAAGAAGGUUCAAGAAGAACCAGAAAGAUCCAAGAAGAACUAGGAAGAACCUGGAAGAAUCUGGAAGAAGGUUCAGGAAGGUUCAAGAAGAACUAGGAAGAAUCUGGAAGAAGGUUCAGGAAGAACCUGGAACGUCCAAAAAGAACUAGGAAGGACCUGGAAGAACCUGGAAAAAGGUUCAGGAAGAACCAAGAAGGACCAGAAAGGUCUAGGAAGAUCCAGAAAGAUCCAGAAAGAUCCAGGAAGGACCAGGAAGGUUCAGGCGAUCAAGAAAGUGGCUACUAGUACACAACGGAGGACUCUGGUCCCACAGUUCAAGAGCUCACGACAAACUGAACUCUAUACUGUCGAGGCUGUCCCAUUUAUAGAUAAGGUCGCCGAUGUUAGCCGCGAUAUCCUUGACCUCAGCAUCGAAAGCAACACCUCGUUUAACCGUCUGCACUCGAUAUUGUAGGAACCUUGUGUUCGUGAUGAUAAGGUAACGCCCGCGAGCGUAAAGAUCACAACGAUUACUCACUAACGGGAAUAUAUGAAAUACACAUUGCAUAUUUUAUUUAAUCAUAACAGGCCAUUGUU